rnacentral:rRNA from 1 species
UACGUAGGGUGCAAGCGUUGUCCGGAAUUAUUGGGCGUAAAGAGCUCGUAGGCGGUCUGUCGCGUCGGCUGUGAAAACCCGGGGCUCAACCCCGGGCCUGCAGUCGAUACGGGCAGACUAGAGUGCGGUAGGGGAGACUGGAAUUCCUGGUGUAGCGGUGAAAUGCGCAGAUAUCAGGAGGAACACCCAUGGCGAAGGCAGCAAACUGGUCAUCAACUGACGCUGAGGCGCGAAAGCGUGGGUAGCAAACAGG